UCUCACCUCAAUGUUUCUUCCCAAUCCAUAAUUAGCAUAAAAGGUGUCCAAGGACAUCUCGG
ensembl:ncRNA T19A6.5 ncRNA